rnacentral:rRNA from 1 species
GAUGAACGCUAGCGGCAGGCCUAACACAUGCAAGUCGAGGGAGAAGCCCUUUCGGGGGCAGAAACCGGCGCACGGGUGCGUAACGCGUAUGCAACCUACCUUUCACAGGGGGAUAGCCCGAAGAAAUUUGGAUUAAUACUCCAUAAUAUUAUUGGAUGGCAUCAUUUGAUAAUUAAAACUGCGGUGGUGAAAGAUGGGCAUGCGUCCUAUUAGCUAGUUGGAGUGGUAACGGCACCCCAAGGCUACGAUAGGUAGGGGACCUGAGGGGGAGAUCCGCCACACUGGUACUGAGACAGAGACCACACUCCUACGGGAGGCAGCAGUAAGGAAUAUUAGUCAAUGGUCGGAAGACUGAACCAGCCAUGCCGCGUACAGGAAGAAUGCCUUAUGGGUUGUAAACUGCUUUUAUAUAAGAGGAAUAGGUCGUACGUGUACGUUGAUGACGGUACCAUAUGAAUAAGCAUCGGCUAACUCCGUG